rnacentral:misc_RNA from 1 species
GAUGAAGAACGCAGCGAAAUGCGAUAAGUAAUGUGAAUUGCAGAAUUCAGUGAAUCAUCGAAUCUUUGAACGCACCUUGCACUCCUUGGUAUUCCGAGGAGUACGCCUGUUCGAGUGUUAUGAAGCUCUCAAAACGCAAUUGGCUUAAAACCUGAUUGUUGUUUUGGAUUUGAACUUUGCCGUGUUAUAACGGCUGGUUUUAAAAGUAUUAGCUGGUACUAGAACGAAUUGGUUCUACUCAACGUGAUAAUUAUCUGAUCGUUGAGGACAUUCCUUUCACGAGGAAUGGCCAUAGUAAAUUCAAUGGACUGCUUCUAAUCUGGCUUUAAUUCUUUAUUGGAUUAACCACUUUUCAAAUCUGACCUCGGAUCAGGUGGGACUACCCGCUGAACUUAAGCAUAUCAUAAGCGGAGGA